CAUUCAUCAUUUUGAAGACUGCAUUUCAUUCUUGCAAUCUGCAUUUUUACAUUUUGUUUUUUAAUUUACAGGUUAAUAGUUGUCAGUGUGACGUGUGAGUUUAUACUGCUCUUUGUCAGUGUCACGCUGCUCUAGUAAAGGUGAAUCUCAUCAUGCCAAUGGAAGCACAAAUCAAGAAAUUACGACAAAUGCUGGAGAAAGAAUGCCAGCUCAACCAGGAACUCCAGAACCAGAACAAAGAGCUGAAGAGACAGCUUGAACAGAAAGAGAGAUUGUUACAGAUUCUGCAAGGACAACUGGAUGAGCUUGAUUGUGCACCUCAACAAAACAGUAAUGAGAUGCCUGAGGUUCGACAGAGUCGGGCAGCUGUCAUGGCCCCGGAGCGAGUACCAGAGGUCCUGGAAAUCACUGCCAACAGAGUCAAAAAAUCUGCCAGGUUACUUUAUACACAUACUAAUCAAGAACCCUGUGAAUGUAAGGUAAUGUUCAGACUGCAGCCAAAUUGGAUUUUUUCUCAAAUCAGAUCUUUUCAGGCAGAGUGUCCUGCACGUAAUUGCAUAUGA
ensembl:lncRNA